rnacentral:rRNA from 1 species
AUUGAACGCUGGUGGCAUGCCUUACACAUGCAAGUCGAACGGCAGCACGGGAGCAAUCCUGGUGGCGAGUGGCGAACGGGUGAGUAAUAUAUCGGAACGUGCCCAGUCGUGGGGAUAACGUAGCGAAAGCUACGCUAAUACCGCAUACGAUCUAUGGAUGAAAGCGGGGGAUCGCAAGACCUCGCGCGAUUGGAGCGGCCGAUAUCAGAUUAGGUAGUUGGUGAGGUAAAGGCUCACCAAGCCGACGAUCUGUAGCUGGUCUGAGAGGACGACCAGCCACACUGGGACUGAGACACGGCCCAGACUCCUACGGGAGGCAGCAGUGGGGGAAUUUUGGACAAUAGGCGGCAAGACUGAUCCAGCAAUAGCCGCGUGCAGGAUGAAGG